AGAGAGAGAGAGAUGAGAAUGAGAAUGAGAGGUGAGGGAGAGGAGAUAGAUAAUAAGAUUAGGGGUAAAAAUGUAUUUUUGUUAAGAAACAUUGGAAUGGGCUAAGCAAAAUGUUUUUCAUUGAGUUGGGAUAUGAAAACCCUAUUUUUGUGCAUUUGGACAUUUUCCCUAAUUUAAAAGUGAGUUAAUUAAAAAAACUGUACCUUUUAAAUAAUUAAGGAUAUUUAAACCUGAUAAUAAUAUACAGGGUCCUUCCAAUGAGGGAUCCAUUUUUUUGUUUAUUUCUAGGGAUAGGGUAUUUGACAAACUUCCCAAUCACAAAAUCACAUCUCCACCAUUCAGUUUGUAAGUGUAUAUGAGUAGAUCACUUAUGUAAAUUUUCAGAAAAUUUGGUGAUCGUUAAGUCAUCCAAAUGUUUGAUUUAUUUUUAUUUAUCUUGAACGGUGUAGGUUUGACAUAAGUGUAAAGAUUUUUGUUUUAAUCUUAGCCAUCAAAGCCCAUUAAAAAACAGAACUAAUGGUGUGGGCCUAUCUCUAAAAGUGACAAAAAAUAGGGAUCAUUUAUUAGAAGGGCCCUGAUUAUAUAUAUAGGACC
rnacentral:lncRNA from 1 species